UAAGGAAUAUUGCUCAAUGGGAGAAAUCCUGAAGCAGCAACGCCGCGUGGAGGAUGAAGGGUCUAUGACUUGUAAACUCCUGUAAAGAAGGAAAAAAUUCCCAUUAGAUGGGAGAUGAUGGUACUUCUGGAGUAAGCCCCGGCUAACUACGUGCCAGCAGCCGCGGUAAUACGUAGGGGGCAAGCGUUGUCCGGAUUUACUGGGUGUAAAGGGUGCUCAGGCGGAUUUGUAAGUCAGAGGUGAAAUCUUACAGCUUAACUGUGAAACUGCCUUUGAUACUGCAAGCCUAGAGUAUGGAAGAGAGUGAUGGAAUAUCUGGUGUAGCAGUGAAAUGCGCAGAUAUCAGAUAGAACACCAAUGGCGAAGGCAGUCACUUGAUCCAUUACUGACGCUAAAGCACGAAAGCGUGGGUAGCAAACA
rnacentral:rRNA from 1 species